AGCGGGGUGGAGUAAUGGUAUCUCGUCGGGCUCAUAACCCGAAGGUUUCAGGUUCAAGUCCUGACCCCGCCACUA
rnacentral:tRNA from 1 species